rnacentral:rRNA from 1 species
CCGACGGUGAGAGGCGAAACCCUGGGGCGCAAACCGGAUUAGAUACCCGGGUAGUCCAGGGCGUAAACGCUGCAGGCUUGGUGUUGGGGGCCCUACGUGGGCGCUCAGUGCCGGAGUGAAGAUGUUAAGCCUGCCGCUUGGGGAGUAUGUCCGCAAGGAUGAAACUUAAAGGAAUUGGCGGGAGAGCACAGCAACGGGAGGAGCGUGCGGUUCAAUUGGAUUCAACGCCGUAAAACUCAUCGGGAGC